CGAGGUUUCCACAUCCUCUGAGCUCCACCAUGUUGGAGAACUGGUAGUUCUCUGCCUGGCGUGGACUCUGUGGGGUCACAGACGUUGGAAGGGUUCACGCAGCCCAGAGGCAGCUUCCCUGUCUCUGUCAUAAGAACAGAGGUUCCCCAUCCUGGCGAACCCCAGGGGCUCUGUAGCCUUUGGGCUGGUCCUGAUUUCUCUUUGAACUGGCUCUUGUGUCUGUCACUGAGGGGAGCAAGAGGAAAGCAGAGCCAUAGGAGCUUCCUGCCCCUCCGGGGAACAGAGCAGCUUGGGGGCGGGGGGUGCCCGCAGGCCUCUUGGGAACUGGCACUGUCAUGGAAGUGGCCAGGCAGGCACCACAGCCCUGCGAGGCUGACCCUGAUUCCAGAGGUUCUCAAGGCCCCUGCCCCUGCGGCGUCUGCUCCCCACGCAGAUCUGCGAACAUUUGCUGCUCAGCCUCCCAGAGAGGAGAGUUCAUUGAAAUCCUCUGGAGCAAACAAGCAUUGAAAACCCAUUCCUCCCAGAGGCUGGAGCAUGGCCCAUCGCUUCCCCACGUGGCUGAGGAAGGCCGCCUAGUGGCCCCAGCUGCCUUGUUUCCCAGUCGAGGCUGAGGCCCCUCCAAGCCCCUCUCCCAGCCCUGCCCCUUCCUGGAGUGGAGGAGGUCAUGCCUCACCAGGGCCCAUGGUGGCAGUGCCAGGCGUGGUAUGUGAGCUGUCAGACCCAGCGAGUACCCUCCCCUGCCAACUCCAGGCCAGCUCUUUGCUGCCUCUCCCAGGUCGGGUGGGCUGUGUAGAGGUGCUGAUGGUGAACCUAGACUUGAAGGAUGAGGACUCGACCAGGCUGAAAGGAAGGGAAGUGAGUGGUGGGUGGCCCCAGCCCAGCACUAACACAGUGCCUGUGACCCACCCUUGCGCCACUCUCGUGACCAGGCCCCUCUCUGACUUGGGGCUUACGAGGCACGGUCCCCUUCUGGUGGGAGGACUGCUCCAUGCCUCCAGCCCCACAGCCUCUUCUGUGGCAAAGUACCCUAGGCUGCCACCCUUCUGCCCCGUCAGGGCUUGCUUUGUUGCCUGCUCCUUUCUCCUUCAUCUGCCCCCACCCCUCCCCAUUUACUUGUAAGCCUACCCGCCUUGCCCCGGCCCACCGUGCCGCUCAUCAGCCCUUGGCAGGAUGGCGUCCUCCCUCCAUGUCGCCUGGGCUGGUCUGCAGUCGUUCCUCAGCCCCUGACCCUGCUGUGAGGCUCCGGCCUCCUCUGUCCUUGACCUUCAGCCCAGUGUCUGGUUCUCCUUCCACCUUGGACACACCUUCUCUAAACUUGCCUGCUCUUCUCAGCCAUGAAGUAUGGGCUCCACUCCCACCCGGGCCCGCUCUGGUCUAUUCUGAUGGACCUGGCGCCCCUCCCGUGAUGCUUUUCAGCAUGGCUGCUCUCUGUCCUGAUGCUGAAUCCCCCCACCUGACCCAGGCACAUUCCUGAAGCUCUCUCCUUCCCUGCUCUCUACCUCUUCCUGCCUCCUGGACGAACUUUCCCAGUUCUGUCUUCCCUCUGUGGGCAGCGUGGAUAGACGCAAGGACACGCCCUGUCUGCCGUCCACUCCCUGGCUGUAGCACAGCUGACCAGGCCCUCAGUGAAGGCUGUGCUCCCUGGACAGGGGACCCUGUAGUGUCUGUAGGGACACUCUGGCCUCCCUGGCCACCACACAGUCCCCUAACCCUUGGCUUUGACAGGUCCUAGCCUGUGGCCCUUCUCUCCUGGGGUGGUCGGAUCCAUGGCCUGUGCCUCGAGCAUUGCCUGUGUGUCGUGUUGACUCCCAAAUUGACUUGGCCAGUGCUGCCCCUCAACAGGGUUUCCGAAAGCAUCUCAGAUACAGUUUGUCCCGAAUGAAACUCAUUAUCCCCCGCUGCAAAAAAAAUCCCUCUCCGCCUCUGUGCUGCUCUGGAAGUCUGGGAACCCAGCUGGCUCCUCCCCACUGCCCCCAUGCCCACGCCCACCAAGUGCCACUCUGCUCCUCUCUCCCUAACAGCUCUUACUGCCCCGUCCCCAUGGGACCCCGGCUCAAUCCCAGCUGCUCCCUCCUCCAUUCCUGGUGUUCUCAGUCUGACCCUUCCCUGCAGCCCAGGGAACUGGUCAUCAAAAUCCGAGUCGCUCCGUCUCCCACCGAAAUGCACAGUGGCUCCUGCAUGCCCUGGGUGUGGGUGCAGCAAGCUCACUCCCACCCGGUGCCUGUGCACCUGCUGCUCCCGUCUGGGCCGCCCUUCCCCAGACCCUCCUGGAGCUACGGCAUUUCUCAGACAUUUUUUCCUUACAAGGGCACCCACAACUGCUCUAGAGAAGCGUUGCCACUCCAGACCCCCUCCCAGCAUCCCGCACUGCAGACGCUGUGUAGACUGUCGGGCUCACAUGUCCAGGAGCAGGCGCCUGGCUGCCCGGGUCAGCCAGAGCUCUAAACUUACUAGCUGUGGGGCCUUAGGCACGCACUUUCUAUGUGCCUCGGUUUCCUCUUCUGUACGGUGGUGAUGGACACAGUACCCAAUCCUUGGGGUGGGUGAAGAUGGGGGGCCUUCGUUGUCUGCUGCUGUUCACCUGCUCUCCCUGGGGCCUCACACCCUCUCAGAGGGAGGAGUAAACAAGCAGUGAAGAUAGAGGAAGUUGAAUGGUGUCCAGGGUCACGAAGAAGAAAGCAGGGAAUGAAGGGAUCGGAGUCUGUGGGGGGGACAGGUGCAAUUUUAAAUAAGUUCCUUCCCAAGGAAAGCCUCAGUGGAGGCCUGGAGUCAGGGAAGAAGGGCAGGACCUUCUUCUUCUUGUGGGGACCGUUCAGGUGAAGGGAACGGCGAGGGCCGAAGGCAGAGCCACUGUCUGUAAUGGGGGAGCUUGGGGACAGUGACACACCCGAGGCCACCUGGCUAGGACGGGGCAGGGUUGGGGAGAGAGGGCUGGUGGGAGUCUGUGGGGCUCACACAUAUGAACAUAAAAUAGAGGAGGGUCUGGGUCACCUGCGCUUUGAACAGGCUUCAGUACAGGUUGAUGGGGUACCCUGGGGGGUCUCCCAAUAGCAGCCCCUCAAAGCUGAUAGUAGGUGGCAUCCUCCCAGGUUGGCAGCAGCUGCAGGCGUGGUUGGUAUUUGCCCACCAAUGAUGGUUCCCUCUCCCGGCUGCCCCCAGCUGGGCCGUGCACACUGGAUGUGGGGGCAGGACCACCUGCACGGACCUCAGCACUCAGCUGGUUCAGGGAGGCCAGUGCAGGGACUGUGAGGGGCCAGCGAUCCGUGGGCCCUCUGGGAGGAGACCUCUGUGCCUCACAUCCCCCACUCCCUAUAGAGUCCAACCCGAGGGGGUCCAGCCUCGUGUGGAGAGCAGCCUGAGGUAACGGAGGCUUUUGGGGCCGGGCCUGUGACCUUCCUAGAGCCAGCUGGGGAGCAGUCCUGGGGCUGCCCCUUCCAGAACUCCAUACCCUGGGGUGGGUCAGAGUACAGGAGGAGGGCUGGCCCUGGGGGAAGGGGCUGCAGAGGGUCAGGGAAGGGCACCAGCUUGAAUGGAGGGAAUGGCGACCCAUCCCCUGUGCGUGGCCGCGUCAUGUUGAUCCAGGCUGUUAUUUCUCACUCAUUAAAGAUGGUCUUUGAUUCUUCACUGAGGUGUCCUGUGGCCCACGAAUGUCAAUGUUGAUGUCGAUAAAAAUAGCCGUUGGCGGGGCAGGCUGCCCAAAGAGGGAUUUGCAGCUCUCACUUGGGGACGGCCCACAUGAGCGAGAGUUCUGGGCUGGGAGCACGUGUGUGCUGUGUGCGGUGAACCUGCUGUGCAUUCCGUCCCUCCAGAUGUGCCCCGGCGGCCCCUCCUCCUACUCCCAGUCGCCUCCCCCAUCCCCACGUCAGCUUUCUUCAGCCUCUUGUCUAUUUUUAGCUCCCUUCCCCAGGGCCUGGCUGACACGGAUGCAGCCUCUCUGCUUGGAGUUGCAUCGCCAUGAAUAUUUUAUGCUGGGGGCUGCUGCAUCCGCUCAGGGCAGCUGCCAGCACUUCCCUGUCUUGUAUUAGAAGAGGCCAACUCAGCGGGUGAAGCCAGGCCUCCUGGUGGCAGUGCCCUCUGACCUUGGGCGGACGGGGGCUGGAGAAGUGACCUGUGGGGAGGGACAGCAGGAGGCAGGCGGCAGCUGACAGAUGUGGGAAGGCUUUUCAGCCUGCGGCAGGGUCAGAGCCCAUAUGUCUGCUGAAGCGGAGGACGUCCCUGGCACCUCAGGCCCUACUGCGGGGUCCUGGGAGGAGCCCCGCCUGAGAACCCUGCUGUGCGAGAACCUAAACCCUGGGAGUCCCAGCGCGCUGUCCACCCACGCUACGCUGCCCACCCGCACCGCACCGCCCAGGGCCUUUGCUUCAGCCCCAGAUGAUCUCAGGACCAGUGCUGGGCAGGUGACUGAACCUCUGCAGGCCACUGUGAAGUGUGGGGGUUAGGGCACAUUUUAGUGCGAAAGUUUUCCGCUCCAGUUUGAUCCUUUUGCCUCUCCUGGGGCCUUAUGUGAGGCAUGGCCUCAGCACAGACCCACACAACUUUCAGAAGGCUCUGGAACAUGGCACCCACCUCACUUCUGCUGCUGCCCCAUGACCUCCUUCUCCCAGCCUCAGCUGAUUCACCUGCAUGAGUGCAGCAGCCCAGUAAGCCCCGUGCCAGCCGAGAGGACAGCAUGGCAUGGGCCAGAGCCUCUGGAAGGAGGGUACUGUUUGACCUGCUGUCCAGCCGGAGGGGCAGGAUGGGCCCCAGGGCUGAAGUCAGUUGAAAGGCCCUCUGCAGCCUUCUGGAAGUUGUCUGCCAUGCAGUGCUGAGGGCCACAGCUUUGUGACGCACCAAUGUGGGGGCUGCAGACAGGGCAGGCUGGAGAUGCCUCUUGGCUGUGGCUGUCUUGAGCCGUCGCCAGGCUGUUGCCCCAAGUCCCCUCUCCAAGCCGCCUCAGUGAUGCUGUCGCUGGAAGGUCCCUCGCCCCUUUGCACUUAGGAGGAAGCAUGGAGCAAGGCUUUCCAUGGUGGUGGCCACCGCUCCCCACCUGCAGGACCUGCCUGACCCCCAGGCACAGUGUGCAGAGGGGCCUGGGGUCCUUGCAUGGGCCCCAUUCCUCUCGAAGAAGCCUCAGGAGCAGAGAUGGUCAUUCUUGACUGUGUUCAGGCCGGGCCAGGACAAGAAGAGAGGUGUGGUCCCAGGAUGUAGGACAGAGAGAGAGGUCCCCACAUGGGGCCUUUGUCAUGGGCAGGGCCCUAGGGUCUCUGCUGCCUCAACAUCCUGGACACCCCGUUGCCACAGGCUCCUGCAGGCAGGGAGGGGCUGCACCUACUCCCAGAGAAUUUCAGGAGCAAAAGAGUGGGCGGAAGCACUGUGUGGUGGCCGCGCGCAGCCUCUGUGCACUCGCCCUGGGAUGGGCACUGCCUCACCAGUGUGUGGGCUCUUACACCUGCUUCCUUUGUUUGUUUGGCCAAGAUUGAACUUUUGGAAUAAUUUUUUAAUUGCUGACUAAUUUAGGAAAUUCAGCUGUUACUGGAGUGCAGAAGGUUGAUGGUGUGUUCCUGGAAGGGCUUGGUGAGCCGCCUGCCGCGUUUGUCCAUUAGUGAGGGAAGCCCUGCCCCCCUCCCGCCCCCACCUUGCUGCCAGCCCACAGGCGUGAGUCAUGGACUAGAAUAUUCAUGAGGCUCAGAAUCCAGUGUCCUGCUCUCUGUUCCUUUUGCCUGCUUUUAGCGGGAGUCAGUCUUGUGAUGGGAAAGUACGUGCAUCCUGAAGCUGCUCCUGUCACCUCAUUGGUUAGUGCUUGGGAACAUCCAGUGGCUGGUGAGUCCCAUGUGCCUAGAACCUGAAGCAUGGGUACCGAGAAGGAGGUUGGCGCAGAUGAGAGCAUGCAGCCUUCUCCUCCAGCCUGGCUCUUGCCUUCCCUCUGCCUGAGCCCAGACUCUUUCUCCAGCCACCUUUCAUGUUUCUGGCCUGCACGUAUCUCUGAAAGAUCCACUGUGUCCAGACAGUCACACACUGGCCCUUCUGAGCAGCACUGGUAGGCAGCUCUUCUGAUGCCACCUCAGCCUAACCGGCUGCAGGGGGUUUAAAAAAAACCACCUGGGCACGGUGAGCUGCUCAUGUUCUCCCCAUGAAGGUUUACAGAAGGCUCUGCUCAGAGCCAGGCCUGGGGGGCAUACAACAGAGUGUGGGGUGGAGCCUUGGGGCCUCUCUGUCCCCUCUGCUGUCAGAUUUGUGACAUGGACAGAGUGAGCACUGCCAGGAGGGUGGCUGUACCAGGAGAAGCCCGUGGGUGGGAUUUCCAGAGGGUUCAGUGAAUCGAGGGAGCAUCCCAGCUAGACCCAGGGCGCUGCGGAAGGUGAGCGAGAAGCCUAUCAGGGAGGCCUGGAAGAGUUGUUGGGCUCACAUGAGGUCCUGGCCAUGGGACUUGGAGUGUUUCAGCAGGGCAAGCUCAUGCCUGGAGUAUCCGGGGGCUGGAGGCCGCCCACUUGGCGCUCUCAGCAAGGGGUGUGGAGUAUCCUGGCAAAGGCCCUUUGCGGCCAGACACACGUCUGAGCCCUGCCAGCAAAGGUGCAGGAAGAAACAGGCCCUGGGCCCCACAUGGUGGCAGAAAUGAUGCAGAGGCCUCCCUGCCUGUGUGUGCAGGAUCAGAAGCAAGUCCCCAGCAUGGCCAUAGAGCUGCCCCAUCUCCAGGGGGAUGGCCAAGCCUAGGUGUGCUGGACACUCCCAUCUCACCUUUGUCACUGUUGCAGGCUCCUGUUCAGACCCUCCAUGGUCUGAGCCCUCUGGAAUUUGUUGGGGACAGAUGAUGCCAGUGUUGAUUGAGCAGAAGUACUGAUUUUGAAUCGUUAACAUAAAGACCAUCCCUAUUUAGAAUUAAGGCUGUUUGAUCUGAUCUUCAUUUGUUUGAUCAUCCAUCCGUCCGUCCGUCCGUCCGUCCAUCCAUCCAUCCAUCCAUCCGUCCAGCAAAUGCCUCCUGUGCCCCUGCUGUGUCCAGGCACAGUGCUGGCCUCCAGCAGGACAGGAAGCUCCACAGGGCAUAGCACAGAGUGGGCACUCGCAGAGCAGAGGUGUGCCGUGAGCAUGUGGCUUCUGGCCUACAGUGGGCACUCAGCAGGUGGCAGCUGUGAUCAUUAUUGGUGUAGGCUGGGGACUGCCAUGUCCACACUCCCAGCACAGGAGCCUCCGUGCCUGCAAGAGGGGCUCCUGAGAGGCCACCACCCAGGCCCCAGUCCCGACGCCUCUUCUCCCCUUUGUGGCGACAAUCUCCCUGCCUCUGCCAGCAGCCUCCCGUUGGCCUUUACAUCUCCUUUCUUGGCCCCACUGGGGGGCAGUUCUUUUGGGGUCUGAGCAGGUGCUGCUGGGUGAGGGGAGCCCCUGGUGAGGGUGUUUAUGACUCUCCAUGAUGAUCUCAUUAUUUGAGAUUUCCGGCUGCUUUCUGCUGGAGGCUGGUGCAGUCCUGGGUGGGUGUGGCGGAGGAGGUAAUUAACCCAGGCCUGCAGCUGCUGGGAGAGGCCGCAGCGGAUGGCAGACAGGCUCCGCUAAGGCAAGGUCCUCAGGUGCAGCGAGACCCUGGGACACAGGUGCUUGUGAGGCUGGUGGUCCUGGCGCUAAGCUCACCAUUGCUGGCUUCUCCAUGCACAGGGCCCCUCGCCUGGCCAUGCUGAGUGUCCUCAAUAAUGAGAUGUUUUCAUUGCUUUUGUGAUUAUCCCAAGACCCCUCUGGUCUCCUGUUAUAACAGGGAGAGGGCAUGCUACAUGGCUUCCUAAUUAAGAAGGUCUGUGUCCCUCAGGCUUACAGGAAGUUGUUAUAUCACCACUGGAAAUGCUUUUUGUACCAUUCAUUAAUUACAAAAAGGACAAGCAAUUGAUUUUACCGAGGGUGGAACUUAGUCACUCGUCCUCCAUACCAUGUUCCAAAUGUGUGUUCUCCAAGCACAGAAAAUGCAAAGUGGAAAACAUUUGGUUUGCAGCAUUCGGCUCUGAAAGCCACAGGCUUCCCCUCCGGUGGAAGAGAGCCCAGAAGACAGCAGUUGGCAGGAAGCACUAAGCGGAGGGAGGAAAAAGACGCAGACCCCAGGCCCAGGCAGCCACCAGGCUGCAGGGGAGUCAGGGGCUUGGUGCUGAGUGCCAGGCGGUGCUCCCUGAGCACCAGGGAGGGAGUGUACUGUCAACCUGCUACCCCGGGACCCUCCCCACACUUCUGUCCCCAUAGGUGGUCAUGAUACCCUAAAGGCCCUGCUGCCUUAAGGCGACCCCAGGCCAUCUAGCCCUCCUUUGGGGCAGCGACUCACCAGCAGGGCAGUCCUUGGAGUAGUCCCCAGGCUGCACUUGGCCUCAGGUAUUUGUGAGGACAGCAGGACCGCCACGCAGACACACAUGCAUGCACCAGGGACCGCAGACACAUGUGCACACACAGGUAGGAGCUCACGUGCGCCAGCACUACAGGAAGCACUUUGCCAUGUCACUUUGUUGAGUUCCUGCUUCCAGGUGAACAAACCUGGCCCUGGGCCACACAGCUGGGCCCAUGGGACUCAGAGUCCUGCUCCUGGCUGUGCUGCCCCAUCCGUUCCAUCAGGCAGGUGCCCAGGAUAUAUGGUGGUCAUGUGCCCUGAGCUUCCCUUUGCCACCUCAUCUUUUCUCUCUGGCAUAUUCUUGGGGAGCCUCAGAGGCUCGGAGGAGCCUGCCUGAGGCCACAAGUGUGUGCCCGGCAGCUGGCACCACUGGCCAGUACCCACGAGGCUCAAGUCCUUCCCCCACCAGCAGCCUCGGGGACUUGAGAGACAUCUGUCUUCCCACAGAGCGCAGAGCAUUCUCUCCUCCUUCACCCACCCCCAA